AUUGAACGCUGGCGGCAUGCCUUACACAUGCAAGUCGAACGGCAGCACGGGAGCAAUCCUGGUGGCGAGUGGCGAACGGGUGAGUAAUAUAUCGGAACGUGCCCAGUCGUGGGGGAUAACGUAGCGAAAGCUACGCUAAUACCGCAUACGAUCUACGGAUGAAAGCGGGGGAUCGCAAGACCUCGCGCGAUUGGAGCGGCCGAUAUCAGAUUAGCUAGUUGGUGGGGUAAAAGCUCACCAAGGCGACGACCUGUAGCUGGUCUGAGAGGACGACCAGCCACACUGGAACUGAGACACGGUCCAGACUCCUACGGGAGGCAGCAGUGGGGAAUUUUGGACAAUGGGCGCAAGCCUGAUCCAGCAAUGCUGCGUGCAGGAUGAAGGCCUUCGGGUUGUAAACUGCUUUUGUACGGAACGAAACGGUGAGCUCUAAUAAAGCUUGCUAAUGACGGUACCGUAAGAAUAAGCACCGGCUAACUACGUG
rnacentral:rRNA from 1 species